rnacentral:rRNA from 1 species
GACGAACGCUGGCGGCGUGCUUAACACAUGCAAGUCGAACGAAGAGCGGUGGAAGCUUGCUUCUAUCAAUCUUAGUGGCGGACGGGUGAGUAACGCGUAAUCAACCUGCCCUUCAGAGGGGGACAACAGUUGGAAACGACUGCUAAUACCGCAUACGAUCUAAUCUCGGCAUCGAGGAAAGAUGAAAGGUGGCCUCUAUUUAUAAGCUAUCACUGAAGGAGGGGAUUGCGUCUGAUUAGCUAGUUGGAGGGGUAACGGCCCACCAAGGCGAUGAUCAGUAGCCGGUCUGAGAGGAUGAACGGCCACAUUGGGACUGAGACACGGCCCAGACUCCUACGGGAGGCAGCAGUGGGGAAUCUUCCGCAAUGGACGAAAGUCUGACGGAGCAACGCCGCGUGAGUGAUGACGGCCUUCGGGUUGUAAAGCUCUGUUAAUCGGGACGAAAGGCCUUCUUGCGAACAGUUAGAAGGAUUGACGGUACCGGAAGAGAAAGCCACGGCUAACUACGUG